rnacentral:ncRNA from 1 species
CGUCCGAGCCGGCGUCCGAGAAGACGAUCUAACUUGAUCAUUUAGAGGAAGUAAAAGUCGUAACAAGGUUUCCGUAGGUGACCCUGCGGAAGGAUCAUUA